rnacentral:rRNA from 1 species
CGAAGUCCGUGAGGUAACCGUAAGGAGCCAGCGGCCGAAGGUGGGAUUGAUGAUUGGGGUGAAGUCGUAACAAGGUAGCCGUAGGAGAACCUGCGGCUGGAUCACCUCCUUUCUAGGGAG